rnacentral:rRNA from 1 species
AGACUUUGAUCAUGGCUCAGGAUGAACGCUAGCUACAGGCUUAACACAUGCAAGUCGAGGGGCAGCAUGAACUUAGCUUGCUAAGUUUGAUGGCGACCGGCGCACGGGUGAGUAACACGUAUCCAACCUGCCGAUGACUCGGGGAUAGCCUUUCGAAAGAAAGAUUAAUACCCGAUGGCAUAGUUCUUCCGCAUGGUGGAACUAUUAAAGAAUUUCGGUCAUCGAUGGGGAUGCGUUCCAUUAGGUUGUUGGCGGGGUAACGGCCCACCAAGCCUUCGAUGGAUAGGGGUUCUGAGAGGAAGGUCCCCCACAUUGGAACUGAGACACGGUCCAAACUCCUACGGGAGGCAGCAGUGAGGAAUAUUGGUCAAUGGACGAGAGUCUGAACCAGCCAAGUAGCGUGAAGGAUGACUGCCCUAUGGGUUGUAAACUUCUUUUAUACGGGAAUAAAGUUAGGCACGUGUGCCUUUUUGUAUGUAUCGUAUGAAUAAGGAUCGGCUAACUCCGUGCCAGCAGCCGCGGUAAUACGGAGGAUCCGAGCGUUAUCCGGAUUUAUUGGGUUUAAAGGGAGCGUAGGCGGAUGCUUAAGUCAGUUGUGAAAGUUUGCGGCUCAACCGUAAAAUUGCAGUUGAUACUGGGUGUCUUGAGUACAGUAGAGGCAGGCGGAAUUCGUGGUGUAGCGGUGAAAUGCUUAGAUAUCACGAAGAACUCCGAUUGCGAAGGCAGCCAGCUGGACUGUAACUGACGCUGAUGCUCGAAAGUGUGGGUAUCAAACAGGAUUAGAUACCCUGGUAGUCAACACAGUAAACGAUGAAUACUCGCUGUUUGCGAUAUACAGUAAGCGGCCAAGCGAAAGCGUUAAGUAUUCCACCUGGGGAGUACGC